GUCGAUCGGCUAGGAAGGUUUUCACCGUGAACGCUCUGAAUUUUGCGUGGAUGACCCUCCAGAGGAAUAAAAUAAUUUUUUGUGAAGAUUGUAGAUUUUGGUACUUUUCUUAGCAGUUUAUCUUUAUUCCUCUUUUAAGCUCGAGGACGAGCAUCGUCUAAACAUGGGGGAGGAGUCAUCGCAUUAUCUCUGACUACUGCUGAGAAAAGUACUAUGUUGCAAGAAAUUCUGAGGAGCAAAAAGAAAAAAUAUGGAAAAAGAAAGAAAGAAAAAGCAAGAGAGAAGAAAUAAAAAGGAAUGAAAAAGAAAAAAAUAAAUAAAGGAGAAAAAGAAUAAAGUGCUCCUUGGUUCCUUGAGCUUCAUUAAAAGUUCCCAGUGCUUUCAAGAUUAAGGAUUGAUCCAUAGUCAUUUUCCAACCAUGUUCAAUGCAAUAACAAGGACUUCAUUUGUGCCUCAGGAUCAUUCAUUUGCCACUUGCCACCUAUGUAAAUGUGUGUGUUUCAUCUCUCUCCCUCUCCA
rnacentral:lncRNA from 1 species